rfam:Ornithorhynchus anatinus chromosome 7, whole genome shotgun sequence.
CACCUCUCAGGAUCACAUCUGGAGAAUUUCCAGUAUUCUAUCAGUCUCAUUUACAGGAGGGAGAGCCAAGCAGAGGUAUACUCAUUCCAUUCCUAGCUUGCGCAGUGGCUAGUGAAUGGAAAGCAAACUGCUACAAGU